rnacentral:rRNA from 1 species
GAAACGACUGCUAAGACUGGAUAGGAGACAAGAAGGCAUCUUCUUGUUUUUAAAAGACCUAGCAAUAGGUAUGCUUAGGGAGGAGCUUGCGUCACAUUAGUUAGUUGGUGGGGUAAAGGCCUACCAAGACUAUGAUGUGUAGCCGGGCUGAGAGGUUGAACGGCCACAUUGGGACUGAGACACGGCCCAAACUCCUACGGGAGGCAGCAGUAGGGAAUUUUCGGCAAUGGAGGAAACUCUGACCGAGCAACGCCGCGUGAACGAUGAAGUAUUUCGGUACGUAAAGUUCUUUUAUUAGGGAAGAAUAAAUGAUGGAAAAAUCAUUCUGACGGUACCUAAUGAAUAAGCCCCGGCUAACUAUGUGCCAGCAGCCGCGGUAAUACAUAGGGGGCAAGCGUUAUCCGGAAUUAUUGGGCGUAAAGGGUGCGUAGGCGGUUAAAUAAAGUUUAUGGUCUAAGUGCAAUGCUCAACAUUGUGAUGCUAUAAAAACUGUUUAGCUAGAGUAAGAUAGAGGCAAGUGGAAUUCCAUGUGUAGUGGUAAAAUGCGUAAAUAUAUGGAGGAACACCAGUAGCGAAGGCGGCUUGCUGGGUCUUUACUGACGCUGAGGCACGAAAGCGUGGGGAGCAAACAGGAUUAGAUACCCUGGUAGUCCACGCCGUAAACGAUGAGUACUAAACGUUGGGUAAAACCAGUGUUGAAGUUAACACAUUAAGUACUCCGCCUGAGUAGUACGUACGCAAGUAUGAAACUUAAAGGAAUUGACGGGACUCCGCACAAGCGGUGGAUCAUGUUGUUUAAUUCGAAGGUACCCGAAAAACCUCACCAGGUCUUGACAUGCUUUUGCAAAGCUGUAGAAACACAGUGGAGGUUAUCAGUUGCACAGGUGGUGCAUGGUUGUCGUCAGCUCGUGUCGUGAGAUGUUGGGUUAAGUCCCGCAACGAGCGCAACCCUUAUUGUUAGUUACCAGCACGUAAUGGUGGGGACUUUAGCAAGACUGCCAGUGAUAAAUUGGAGGAAGGUGGGGACGACGUCAAAUCAUCAUGCCCCUUAUGACCUGGGCUACAAACGUGAUACAAUGGCUGUUACAAAGGGUAGCUGAAGCGCAAGUUUUUGGCGAAUCUCAAAAAAACAGUCUCAGUUCGGAUUGAAGUCUGCAACUCGACUUCAUGAAGUUGGAAUCGCUAGUAAUCGCGAAUCAGCAUGUCGCGGUGAAUACGUUCUCGGGGUUUGUACACACCGCCCGUCA